rnacentral:rRNA from 1 species
CUGAGGCGUGAUAACGAGGCACUACGGUGCUGAAGUGGUUGAUGCCCUGCUUCCAGGAAAAGCCUCUAAGCAUCAGGUAACAGUGAAUCGUACCCCAAACCGACACAGGUGGUCAGGUAGAGAAUACUCAGGCGCUUGAGAGAACUCGGGUGAAGGAACUAGGCAAAAUGGUGCCGUAACUUCGGGAGAAGGCACGCUGGCAUUAGGUGAAGGGACAUGCGCCCGGAGCCGAAGCCAGUCGCAGAUACCAGCUGGCUGCAACUGUUUAAUAAAAACACAGCACUGUGCAAACACGAAAGUGGACGUAUACGGUGUGACGCCUGCCCGGUGCUGGAAGGUUAAUUGAUGGGGUUAGCGGCAACGCGAAGCUCUUGAUCGAAGCCCCAGUAAACGGCGGCCGUAACUAUAACGGUCCUAAGGUAGCGAAAUUCCUUGUCGGGUAAGUUCCGACCUGCACGAAUGGCGUAAUGAUGGCCAGGCUGUCUCCACCCGAGACUCAGUGAAAUUGAACUCGCUGUGAAGAUGCAGUGUACCCGCGGCAAGACGGAAAGACCCCGUGAACCUUUACUAUAGCUUGACACUGAACCUUGAACCUUGAUGUGUAGGAUAGGUGGGAGGCUGUGAAGUGUGGACGCCAGUCUGCACGGAGCCAUCCUUGAAAUACCACCCUUGAAUGUUUGAUGUUCUAACGCAGGCCCGUCAUCCGGGUCGCGGACAGUGUCUGGUGGGUAGUUUGACUGGGGCGGUCUCCUCCCAAAGCGUAACGGAGGAGCACGAAGGUUAGCUAAUCACGGUCGGACAUCGUGAGGUUAGUGCAAUGGCAUAAGCUAGCUUGACUGCGAGAGUGACAGCUCGAGCAGGUACGAAAGUAGGUCAUAGUGAUCCGGUGGUUCUGAAUGGAAGGGCCAUCGCUCAACGGAUAAAAGGUACUCCGGGGAUAACAGGCUGAUACCGCCCAAGAGUUCAUAUCGACGGCGGUGUUUGGCACCUCGAUGUCGGCUCAUCACAUCCUGGGGCUGAAGUAGGUCCCAAGGGUACGGCUGUUCGCCGUUUAAAGUGGUACGCGAGCUGGGUUUAGAACGUCGUGAGACAGUUCGGUCCCUAUCUGCCGUGGGCGUUGGAAGAUUGAAAGGGGCUGCUCCUAGUACGAGAGGACCGGAGUGGACGCACCACUGGUGUUCGGGUUGUCAUGCCAAUGGCACUGCCCGGUAGCUAAGUGCGGAAGAGAUAACCGCUGAAAGCAUCUAAGCGGGAAACUUGCCUUGAGAUGAGUCUUCCCUUGUCCCUUGAGGAUACUGAAGGAACGUUCAAGACGAGGACGUGGAUAGGCUGGGUGUGUAAGCGUAGCGAUACGUUGAGCUAACCAGUACUAAUGAACCGUGAGGCUUAACCU